GAACCUUAAGACCGUAUUGUAUCGAUUCUCGAAUCACUGGUGAGCUCAGGCAAAGCGUCACCCUUACUCGUUCCUCUCAUACAGCAGAAAGUCCUCAGCUUCAACCUUAGGGUUCCUCUGUUCUUCUUCUCGCCAAAAUCUUAGGGCUUACAAUUCAUACAUUUCCAAUCUUAUGGCGAAAACGAGGCCGGGUAGAAAGGACUUGGACUCAUAUACCAUCAGAGGCACCAACAAGAUCGUCAGAGCUGGAGACUGUGUACUGAUGCGGCCUUCCGACACCAGCAAGCCUCCGUACGUGGCUCGCGUGGAGAAGAUCGAACAAGAUAACAGGAACAACGUUAAAGUCCGCGUCAGAUGGUAUUAUCGGCCGGAAGAGUCGAUUGGAGGACGCAGGCAAUUCCAUGGAGCGAAAGAGCUGUUCUUGUCGGACCAUUAUGACGUCCAGAGUGCUCACACCAUUGAAGGGAAGUGUAUUGUACACUCUUUCAAGAACUACACUAAGCUUGAGAAUGUAGGAGCAGAAGAUUACUACUGUAGAUUCGAAUACAAGGCUGCUACCGGUGCUUUCACGCCGGACCGUGUUGCUGUGUAUUGCAAAUGCGAGAUGCCUUAUAAUCCAGACGACCUCAUGGUGCAAUGUGAGGGGUGCAAGGAUUGGUUUCUUGCAGGUAUCAUCCUGCUUGUGUGGGCAUGACUAUUGAAGAGGCAAAAAAACUGGACCAUUUUGUAUGUUCUGAAUGUUCUUCUGAUGAUGACAUGAAAAAGCCUCAAGCUACAUUUUCUGCAUCACCAACAUCCGAUGGCAAGGUGGAGCCCAAGCGGCGGAAGAGAUAGCCGUUGUAGGGACAAGACUGUGAAAAGACGUGACUGCUGCUGUUGUGUGUUGUAAAGCUUCGAGCAGAGGCUACGAAACAUGUUAUGUAUUUGACUCUCUCUUAUGUAUGUAUCUGUGUUUAGUAGAUCCCAUGACAUUUGAAGAUAUGUUUCCCUUUCUGUCCAGAAAGCGAUCAUUUCUCUGAGAUAACAUUAAACCUAUUGGCGUAACAAGAAAUUGCCACCCCCAGUUUUAAAUUUAUUGUUUCUUGUGUGUCCAUUGGCUUUU